UUUUUCCAUUUCGUUAGUUUUGUUUAUUAUUAAUAGGAAAAAUAUAUGUUCAUCAAGUGCGUCAAUUGUAUAGUUUUAUUUUUCAAUAGGACGUGCUACUUAUCGUAUUUAAGGGGUUUUAAUGUAAUUUUCUCAACAAUUUCAACAAAAUAAAAAUUGAAUUUUAUCGACACAGAAUUAUCGAAUUCACUUAACCAUACAUUAAAAAUAUUCCCGUGUCAUAAUUAUAAGUAGUUAUUAAGAAGUUG